AGAUUGAACGCUGGCGGCAGGCCUAACACAUGCAAGUCGAGCGGCAGCACGGGUACUUGUACCUGGUGGCGAGCGGCGGACGGGUGAGUAAUGCCUAGGAAUCUGCCUGGUAGUGGGGGAUAACGCUCGGAAACGGACGCUAAUACCGCAUACGUCCUACGGGAGAAAGCAGGGGACCUUCGGGCCUUGCGCUAUCAGAUGAGCCUAGGUCGGAUUAGCUAGUUGGUGAGGUAAUGGCUCACCAAGGCGACGAUCCGUAACUGGUCUGAGAGGAUGAUCAGUCACACUGGAACUGAGACACGGUCCAGACUCCGUACGGGAGCAGCAGGUGGGAAUAGUUGGACAAGUGGGCGACGAAGCCUGAUCCAGCAAUCGGACCGCGUAGCGAGG
rnacentral:rRNA from 1 species